rnacentral:rRNA from 1 species
UUCCGGUUGAUCCUGCCAGAGGCCACUGCUAUCGGAGUUCGAUUAAGCCAUGCGAGUCGAGAGGUGCAAGACCUCGGCAUACUGCUCAGUAACACGUGGACAAUCUAACCUAUGGAAGGGGAUAACCCCGGGAAACUGGGGAUAAUACCCUAUAGACUAUGAAUGCUGGAAUGCUUUGUAGUCCAAAGGUCAGCCGCCAUAGGAUGGGUCUGCGGCCGAUUAGGUUGUUGUUGGGGUAACGGCCCAACAAGCCUGUAAUCGGUACGGGUUGUGGGAGCAAGAGCCCGGAGAUGGAUUCUGAGACACGAAUCCAGGCCCUACGGGGCGCAGCAGGCGCGAAAACUUUACAAUGCGGGAAACCGUGAUAGGGGAACUCCGAGUGCCCGUUAAAUCGGGCUGUCCAUCAGUUUAAAUAACUGGUGAAGAAAGGGCCGGGCAAGACCGGUGCCAGCCGCCGCGGUAAUACCGGCGGCUCGAGUGGUGGCCACUAUUACUGGGCUUAAAGCGUUCGUAGCUGGUUUGUUAAGUCUCUGGGGAAAUCUUCCGGCUUAACCGGAAGGCGUUUCAGGGAUACUGGCAGACUAGGGACCGGGAGAGGUGAGGGGUACUCCAGGGGUAGGAGUGAAAUCCUGUAAUCCUUGGGGGACCACCUGUGGCGAAGGCGCCUCACCAGAACAGCUCCGACAGUGAGGGACGAAAGCUGGGGGAGCAAACCGGAUUAGAUACCCGGGUAGUCCCAGCCGUAAACGAUGUGCGUUAGGUGUAUCGGUGACCACGAGUCACCGAGGUGCCGAAGAGAAAUCGUGAGACGUACCGCCUGGGAAGUACGGUCGCAAGGCUGAAACUUAAAGGAAUUGGCGGG